CCUGCCCCCUGGAAGCACUACGGGUGUGGCUGCUGUGUUACAUGCUUGUCAGUGGUGGCACAGAGGAGAGAGGCUAUGUCUACACUCGGUGUUCUGACCUAUGACCAUCUGAAUGAUCAGUAGCCUAAUAUU
ensembl:snoRNA Gm25396 small nucleolar RNA SNORA17